GGCUUAACACAUGCAAGUCGAGGGGCAGCGGGAAGAAAGCUUGCUUUCUUUGCCGGCGACUGGCGCACGGGUGAGUAACGCGUAUCCAACCUUCCCCUUAGUAGGGCAUAGCCCGGCGAAAGUCGGAUUAAUACCCUAUGUUUUCCAAUGAGGACAUCUGAGCUGGAACAAAGAUUCAUCGCUAAGGGAUGGGGAUGCGUCUGAUUAGGUAGUAGGCGGGGUAACGGCCCACCUAGCCUGCGAUCAGUAGGGGUUCUGAGAGGAAGGUCCCCCACAUUGGAACUGAGACACGGUCCAAACUCCUACGGGAGGCAGCAGUGAGGAAUAUUGGUCAAUGGGCGCGAGCCUGAACCAGCCAAGUAGCGUGCAGGAUGACGGCCCUAUGGGUUGUAAACUGCUUUUAUACAGGGAUAAAGUGCACCACGUGUGGUGUUUUGUAGGUACUGUAUGAAUAAGGACCGGCUAAUUCCGUGCCAGCAGCCGCGGUAAUACGGAAGGUCCGGGCGUUAUCCGGAUUUAUUGGGUUUAAAGGGAGCGCAGGCUGAUUGUUAAGCGUGACGUGAAAUGUAGCCGCUCAACGGCUGCACUGCGUCGCGAACUGGCAGUCUUGAGUGAGUACGACGUCAGCGGAAUUCGUG
rnacentral:rRNA from 1 species